ACUCAUCGAUCGACCAGCCCAAAGGGAGGGAUGAACAGCUGGGUGGGCUGGGGACAGACUGCCCUGGACUGGGAUAUGGACAGCCGCCAGGAGCAGUAUUCUCUAGGGUCAGCGAGUCUGGAAGAGAUAGUGUCGAUCAGCCUACCUUGAUGUCUGCCCCUCGAAGCUCCAAGUGUCAAUCAGCCUACCUUAAUGUCUGCCCCUCGAAGCUCCAAGGAAGAGGCUGCGGCACUCCCUCUCCUGCCAGCACGCUGUCCACGCGCGCAUCCGUCCUCCCUUUCUCCAAGGUAGCUCCUGAAGUAUGGCUGCCCGCUGGGUCAUGUAUCGCGCACCACAUUGUGCAAGGAAUCUGUCCACGAAGUGCUGAUAUGCUGGAAGGCUACUACACCUGGCUGUGCACCACACCUGAAAAAGAAAGUUUUACACAAGAGUACAUUGGAUUCGUACUCCAAAGAAAAUUCCGGUAAAGUAUGCUUAUUUCAAAAUCUCUCCAUCUUUUCCGGCUGUCCGGAAGGAUGGUCAAUAAAAUGGUGUUGAUGAGCACACAC